CCAGUAGAAAGGGGAAUACUUUGAGGCGAACAAAGUGUAUGAAGAGUUUUUUGAUGGUGCUAAAAAAAACUGGAAAAAUUCAAUUUGAAGUUUUGUUACUUAGCCAAAACUACGGCGACUACUUAAUGGCACGCCGAAAAGCGUCCUCGCAUCAACAGUUUGAGAACAGAGCCGUUGCAAGUUUACACUGCUUAAAUUUAUAUGUACAUAUGUACAUACAUAUGAACAUAUACGUAUUUAGUACAUACUAUGUUCUUACUUUAUGUGAGUCAGAUGUGCGUGAGUGCAUGCGUGAACGUAAGUGUGUGUGAGAUGUUUGGUUCUUCAGCCCGUACACUUUGGUAAUGUGGGAAGAAGGAAAGUGGCUGAGGUGGCAUAAUUUUUUACCACGAAAAGUGCAAAUGACGCUUAACUACUUGCUCUGCAAGUUUGCAAACCUCGAUUCAUGCUGUUGCAUGUUUGUAUCUCACUUACGUCGCAAUUGGAGUAUCUUCGUUUCUCGACAUUGUGAACUAAAAUCCAAAUGAAUGAUGAACACAAAACGAUGUACACACAAAAUUGAAUGACACCUUCACAAGAAAA